rnacentral:lncRNA from 1 species
GUGGAGAUACUUUGUAGUGGUGGUGGUGAAGGUAAUAGUUGUUGUUAGUAGCUAGUAAUGAUAGUUGUGACAGUGGAAGUGGUUGGUGUUGUGGUGACUAUCAUAAUGGUGGUGAUUAGUAGUGGUGUUGGUGGUUGUAGUGAUGAAGUUGGUUGAUGUUACUAGUUGGUUGUGUUGAUGUUGGUGGCUCAAGAAUGUCUAGUAGUUGAUAGUUGGCAGCGGUACUAGUUAUGAUGAUGGAGGUGGUAGGUAAUAGAGAUUGACCACAAUGAUGGUAGUGGUUGAUAGUAGUGGUAGAAGUGGUGAUGGUGGUGGUGGUGGUGACAAAAAAAUGUAUGGUGGUAGUUGGCGGUGGUUUAGUUGUGAUGCUGAAAUUUAUUGGUAGUAGAAAUUGACUAUAGGGGUGAUAGUGGUUGAUAGUGGUGGGGGAGAUGGCGGUGGCUACAAAGACAAUGAUGGUGGUGGUGGCGACAGCUACAGUGGUGGUGGUGGCGACAGCUACAGAGAUGGUGGUGGCGACAGCUACAGAGAUGGUGGUGGCGACAGCUACAGAGAUGGUGGUGGCGACAGCUACAGAGAUGGUGGUGGCGACAGCUACAGAGAUGGUGGUGGCGACAGCUACAGAGAUGGUGGUGGCGACAGCUACAGAGAUGGUGGUGGCGACAGCUACAGAGAUGGUGGUGGCGACAGCUACAGAGAUGGUGGUGGCGACAGCUACAGAGAUGGUGGUGGCGACAGCUACAGAGAUGGUGGUGGCGACAGCUACAGAGAUGGUGGUGGCGACAGCUACAGAGAUGGUGGUGGCGACAGCUACAGAGAUGGUGGUGGCGACAGCUACAGAGAUGGUGGUGGCGACAGCUACAGAGAUGGUGGUGGCGACAGCUACAGAGAUGGUGGUGGCGACAGCUACAGAGAUGGUGGUGGCGACAGCUACAGAGAUGGUGGUGGCGACAGCUACAGAGAUGGUGGUGGCGACAGCUACAGAGAUGGUGGUGGCGACAGCUACAGAGAUGGUGGUGGCGACAGCUACAGAGAUAGUGGUGGCAACGUCAAUGGAUAUAAUCAUAAUGAUGGAGGAGAUAAGCAUGGUAGUGUUUGAUAGUAGUAG